UACGUAGGGCGCGAGCGUUGUCCGGAUUUAUUGGGCGUAAAGAGCUCGUAGGCGGCUUGUCGCGUCUUCCGUGAAAACCUGUGGCUCAACUGCAGGCUUGCGGUCGAUACGGGCAGGCUGGAGUUCGGUAGGGGAGAGUGGAAUUCCUGGUGUAGCGGUGAAAUGCGCAGAUAUCAGGAGGAACACCGGUGGCGAAGGCGGGUCUCUGGGCCGAUACUGACGCUGAGGAGCGAAAGCGUGGGGAGCGAACAGG
rnacentral:rRNA from 1 species